AUUGAACGCUGGCGGCAGGCUUAACACAUGCAAGUCGAGCGAGCGGCGGACGGGUGAGUAAUGUCUGGGAAACUGCCUGCUGGAGGGGGAUAACUACUGGAAACGGUAGCUAAUACCGCAUACCAUCAGAGGUGCCCAGAUGGGAUUAGCGAGUAGGUGGGGUAAUGGCUCACCUAGGCGACCAUCCCUAGCUGGUCUGAGAGGAUGACCAGCCACACGGGAACGGAUACACGGUCCAGACUCCUAGGGGAGGCAGCAGUGGGGAAUAUUGCACAAUGGGAGCAAGCCUGAGACAGCCAUGCCGCGUGUGUGAAGAAGGCCUUCGGGUUGUAAAGCACUUUCAGCGAGGAGGCGGUACUCGCAGAAGAAGCACCGGCUAACUCCGUGCCAGCAGCCGCGGUAAUAC
rnacentral:rRNA from 1 species